GGUCCCAUAGUUAAAACGGAUAUAACGGGUCUUUCCUAAAGAUCUAUUAGAGGUUCAAUUCCUCUUGGGACCG
rnacentral:tRNA from 1 species